GUGCAGCAGGCGCGAAAACUUUACCAUGCGGGAAACCGUGAUAAGGGGACACCGAGUGCCAGCAUCAUAUGCUGGCUGUCCGGGUGUGUAAAAUACACCCGUUAGCAAGGGCCGGGCAAGACCGGUGCCAGCCGCCGCGGUAACACCGGCGGCCCGAGUGGUGAUCGUGAUUAUUGGGUCUAAAGGGUCCGUAGCCGGUUUGGUCAGUCCUCCGGGAAAUCUGACGGCUUAACCGUUAGGCUUUCGGGGGAUACUGCCAGGCUUGGAACCGGGAGAGGUAAGAGGUACUACAGGGGUAGGAGUGAAAUCUUGUAAUCCCUGUGAGACCACCUGUGGCGAAGGCGUCUUACCAGAACGGGUUCGACGGUGAGGGACGAAAGCUGGGGGCACGAACCGGAUUAGAUACCCGGGUAGUCCCAGCCGUAAACGAUGCUCGCUAGGUGUCAGGCGUGGCGCGACCGUGUCUGGUGCCGCAGGGAAGCCGUGAAGCGAGCCACCUGGGAAGUACGGCCGCAAGGCUGAAACUUAAAGGAAUUGGCGGGGGAGCAC
rnacentral:rRNA from 1 species